GUAGACAGUAUUGUGGAGUGAGGUAGACAGUAUUGUGGAGUGAGGUAGACAGUAUUGUGGAGUGAGGUAGACAGUAUUGUGGAGUGAGGUAUAAGGUAUUGUGGAGUGAGGUAUGGAGUAUUGUGGAGUGAGGUAGACAGUAUUGUGGAGUGAGGUAGACAGUAUUGUGAGGUAGAAAGUAUUGUGGAGUGAGGUAGACAGUAUUGUGAGGUAGACAGUAUUGUGGAGUGAGGUGGACAGUAUUGUGAGGU